AUGCAUAAUUAUCUAUUUUUAUUCUGAUAGUUCUCCCAUAUUCCCAUUCCCAGUUUGACUUCUGUUGUGGAUGUUAUAUACAUUCAUCAAACCCCAGCAUCUCUAUAUUAAUUAGUGGCUUCUUUAUCUUUCCAAGAGAAAUGUAGAUGAUACUAGUCAGUACUGGUACCUCUCAGGCUAUGUCUUUUCUGGUUUGUGGAUUUCUCUGGAGGCCUUUUGUACCUGUGAACCAAAACCACAUUCAACCACUCAUAUUAUCUGCCUCAUUUAAUGGGGAAAAGGAUGCCAUUUGCCCAUGUCCUUGAAACAGACCAAGCACAAAUAUAAAUGCAAAAGCAGUUAUUCUCUCUAUUCUGCCCUUGAAGUAUCAGGUUUAGAAAAGUAUGUUGGGUGAAGAUGAGUUUCUAUGGUUUCAGAUAUGGUUCUAAGUGAAGAGUCACAGAACAAAAAUAGAACUUAGUAGUAAUUUUG
rnacentral:lncRNA from 1 species